rnacentral:rRNA from 1 species
AACGAACGCUGGCGGCAUGCCUAACACAUGCAAGUCGAACGAGACCUUCGGGUCUAGUGGCGCACGGGUGCGUAACGCGUGGGAACCUGCCCUUAGGUUCGGAAUAACUCCCCGAAAGGGGUGCUAAUACCGAUAAUGUCUUCGGACCAAAGAUUUAUCGCCUUUGGAUGGGCCCGCGUUGGAUUAGGUAGUUGGUAGGGUAAAAGCCUACCAAGGCGACGAUCCAUAGCUGGUCUGAGAGGAUGAUCAGGCACACUGGGACUGAGACACGGCCCAGACUCCUACGGGAGGCAGCAGUGGGGAAUAUUGGACAAUGGGCGAAAGCCUGAUCCAGCAAUGCCGCGUGAGUGAUGAAGGCCUUAGGGUUGUAAAGCUCUUUUACCCGGGAUGAUAAUGACAGUACCGGGAGAAUAAGCUCCGGCUAACUCCGUG